rnacentral:lncRNA from 1 species
GUCCUUUCCUAACGAGGGUUUUGCAUUGCUGCCUCCCUCCCUUACCACUCUAGAUCUUUCGAGAAUGUAUUGUUUGCACACGUUGGACUGCAGAGGGCUUCUCCACCUGACGUCUCUCCAACUGUUGAGUCCUUUCCUAACGAGGGUUUUGCAUUGCUGCCUCCCUCCCUUACCACUCUAGAUCUUUCGAGAAUGUAUUGUUUGCACACGUUGGACUGCAGAGGGCUUCUCCACCUGACGUCUCUCCAACGCUUAACAAUUCAAUCUUGCCCGAAGCUGGAGAAUAUGGCGGGAGAGAGACUGCCUGCAUCUCUAAUACAACUUUAUAUUAAUAGUUGUCCUCUGUUGGGAGAACGAUGCGUCAAAAAACAUUCUCAAAUUUGGCCCAAAAUUUCACACAUCCAAUGCAUUAAGGUUAACAACAAAUGGAUUUAGCAAGCUCAAACUUGGAUUUUAAACAGGUAAUAGUUCUGCACUUCUUACUUCGAUUUCUAUUAUUUACUAAAUAGACUCCAAUGUUUGUGAUAGCAUUAUCUGUACAUCUGUAUUACUAUAAGAUAC